AUCCAGCUGACGAGUCAUAAAUACGACGAAACUCGCGUCCUGGAC
rnacentral:hammerhead_ribozyme from 1 species